GACGACGCUGCUAUCUUGUUUAUCGUUUUUGAGAGUCUCUGGACUCGGCUUUUAAUUGGCUUUAUAUUGUAUGGUUAUUGCUGUUAACGGUUGCUGUUUUUCGACCAAGAUAAAACUUAUGAAAGAAGAGUCAAAAUGGGCAGCGUAGUUUGUUCUGGUGUGAAGAAUUUGCGUAUGGUUGUACCUACAAUUGUUUUAUUUGGAGUGGCACCUCAUUAUUAUAUGGUUUGGAUGCUAUGGCGAUUGGUUUCUCUUGCCCUACCCACGUAUAUAUAUCAAAAAGGGGAUGAUUUUUGUUAUUCUUUAUAUCAGCGUCUCGUUUUAUUCUUCUUUGAAAACCUCACGGGUACAGAGGUGAUUCUUCAUGGUGAUGGGGACGAGGUAUUACGAAGAAAAGAAAGGGUGCUUUAUCUUGGCAACCAUCAAAGUACAAUGGACUGGAUUGUGGUUCAUAUGUUAGCAGAAAGGCAAGGAAGCCUAGGCCAUGUACGCUACAUCAUGAAAAACUCUUUGCAGGCUGUUCCUCUUUAUGGGUUUUACUUUUAUGAGCAUGGAUGUGUAUAUGUAAAAAGGGGCAAUUUCAACCAGUCCAAAAUGAUGAAUGACCUUAAAUAUUUGAAACACAAGAGAAUACCUACCUGGCUUGUGAUUUUCCCUGAAGGAACUCGGUUUAAUCCUUUCUUGCCACAGUUACUUGAGAGAAGCCACAAGAUUGCUGAAGACCAAGGAAUACAGCCUUUCAACCAUCUCUUGACCCCCAAGAUACGUGGUCUUCAUUUGGCUCUGGAACAACUAAGGAACAGUUUUGAUGCACUUUAUGAUGUGACAGUUGUCUACUCCAACACCAAAGAUAAGAAAAGUGGAAAGAGGAAGCCUGCACCAUCAAUGUUUGAAUUUGCUGUAGGUGUCUGUCCUCAGGUGCACAUCCAUGUGUCAAGAAUAGAUAUUAAAAAUGUUCCAACAACUGAAGAAGAGUUAAAACAAUGGUUGUUUACACUGUACCGAAAUAAAGAUAGAAUACUUAGCAGUUACUAUGAUAACAACGAACAACAGCCUUUAGUUGAUGUUUUUGCUCAUGGACAAAAGUCACCUACUACUUCAUUCUACACCAUUAGUUCAUUCCUGUUCUUCAUGGUACUAGCUGUUCCAUUCAUUGUGACCCCUUUUGGUCGUAGCCUGUACUGGAAACUAGUUACCUUUGGAUCACUUUCUGGAUACUUGUGGUUAGGUGUUAAGUCAUUAGCCUAAUAUACUAGGGAAAGUAGUAUGAAUGUAGUUUUUCUGGUUACUGUUGAAUGUAGUAUUUAGGUUCAUGACACUUCUAAAAAUUGAAAAACAUUUGAACUGUUUACAUCAUAAUGAAUUCCUGAAAAGUCAGAAUAUACAGUAGUUUUAGUGCAUGGACAAUAUAACUAAAGUUUUCACACAUUUUACAUUGCAAAGGAAAUUGGAAGCUAUUGAUAUAAGCCUAUAACCUUUUUUUUAAAUUUCAUAAAUCCUCUUAGAAAAUUUUGCUGCCUUUUCUUUUGAGCAAUACUUCCACUUUAUUCUGCUUUAUAUUCCAAUAUAACCCAACACUAAUUCUAACAAAACUAGAUAACCAGCUCUUUGAUUGUCUACUGUUAUGCUCUUCAAUUGUAAUUUGCAAGUUAACUUGUCCUAGAGGUAAAACACAAAUCUUUAAGCAUGUCAAUCACACUGAAUAAACAAUAUUAGAGUUGACAAAUGAUGUGUUUAAGGGUUUUUCUUUUUUGGUUUGUUUAGAAUUAACAAAAAGUGACUGGUACAUUUAUUGUAAGUUUAAUAAGUAAACUGAAUUAGAAAUAGAAAGAUAAGAAGAAACAAUAUCAAAACUAAUGUUAGAAAACCAGUUUGAAAUAUAAUAAAAAUAUGAAUGAAAUGUUUAUUUCUUUCUAUUCAGGUAGUGGUGGAACUGAGGUUUUGGUUUGUAUCACUUGUGAUGUCUGAUGUGCUAUUCUGUUGUGUAGUUAGUGGUAUUACUGAAGUUUUAGUUUGUAUCAUUUGUGAUGUUUGACACACUAUUGUGUUCUAUUCUAUUGUGUUGUCAGUGGUAUUAUUGAGGUUUUAGUUUCUAACAUUUGUGAUGUCUGAUGUACUGUUGUGUUGUUGCAGUCAGUGGUAUUACUGAGGAUUUAGUUUGUAUCAUUUUUAAUGGUUAACUGUUCUGUUGUGUAGUCAUUGGUGUUACUGGGGAUUUAGUUUGUAUCAUUUGUGGUGUUUAAGUAUUCUGUUGUGUAGUCAGUGGUAUUACUGAGGAUUUGUAUCAUUUGUGACAGGUCCAAAAGAUAGAAGAAAUAUAAGUGUCAGGAUGUGGGUAAACUGAUAAUCUUCAUAGUGCAAAAAACAUGAAACAUAGGGAGAUAUUGUUGACUUACAUAUGCCUUUCAUACCAGUAGUUCAUAUUUUAUUUUUUUAUGUGUUUCCUACUGAAUCAUAAGGUAACAGAACCAAACUUUAGUCCUUCAUAUUAUUUUCUCCUACUAACAUAAUAAAAACCCACUUUAGUUUGGUGUAUGAAGUAAUUAUUGUAUUACUCAUAUUGAAGCUAUUCUUAGUCAUAUUCUUUACAGCAAACAUUCAUAACAUUGUAAGGCAACUUGCUUACAGGGGCACGUACUGCAGCAUAUCUAGAUUCCUGUUGUAAGGUCAGUGCAAAAGCUAGUACCUUAACAACAGCUGAUUUACAAUUGCAUUAAGUUAUACUACUGCAGUAGCUUUAUUAAUUAAGCUGGUGUAUCUGGUGAUUUAGAACAAGAAUUGGUUUAUCACUGCUGUCGAUAUAGAUCAAGAGUUGGUUUAUCACUGCUGUCGAUAUAGAUCAAGAGUUGGUUUAUCACUGCUGUCGAUAUAGAUCAAGAGUUGGUUUUAACACUGCUGACGAUAUAGAUCAAGAGUUGGUUUGUUAUUGCUCUUGCUGUAGAGCAAGAACUAGUUUACCAUUACUGUGUAGAAUAAUAACUGGUUUAUUACUAUGGUUCGAUUUAAACAAGAACUGAUUCACCAUUGCUGUAAGUUUAGAACAAGAGUUUGUUUACUGCUUUAUUAUUCAGAACGUUAAACAAAACUGGUUUGUUACUUUAGUAGGUUUAAAACAAGAGCUAGCUUAGCUCUACUUAAGGCUUAAAACCAAAAUUGUUUACUACUGUAGCAGUUUUAUAAGAAACACUGGUAUAUAGCUGUUUUUGGCUGAAAGUUAGGAAAAGAUUUGGUUUACAACUGCAGUAAGUUUAGAAGAAUAAUUGUUUUUUUCUGCUAUAAGGUUAGAAGGAGCUGGUUUAACAUGCAGUUUAUAAGAAUAGCUGUUUUGUCUGUUAUAAGGUUAGAAGGAGCUGGUUUAACAUGCAGUUUAUAGGAAUAGCUGUUUUGUCUGCUAUAAGGUUAGAAGGAGCUGGUUUAACAUGCAGUUUAUAGGAAUAGCUGUUUUGUCUGCUAUAAGGUUAGAAGGAGCUGGUUUAACAUGCAGUUUAUAAGAAUAGCUGUUUUGCCUGCUAUAAUGUUAUAGAAGGAGCUGAUUUACCACAACAGUAAGUUUAUAAGAAUAGCUGUUUUAUCUGCUAUAAGGUUCAAAGGAGCUGGUUUACCACUGCAGUUUAUAAGAAUAGCUGUUUUGUCGGCUAUAAGGUUAGAAGGAGCUGGUUUAACACGCAGUUUAUAAGAAUAGCUGUUUUGUCUGCUAUAAUGUUAUAGAAGGAGCUGAUUUACCACUGCAGUAAGUUUAGGAAAAGUAAUGUUAGAACAAGAGCUGGUUUACCAUAGCAAGUUUAGUAUAGUACUUGUAAGUUUAGAGUAUAUCUUCUGCUAACAUACUCUUGGUUUAUUGCAAAUAUAAGAAAUAUAAAAAAACUAUUUUGAAGAAUCUGAGAAAUAGGGCACUUCUAAAUACAUAGCUAGUGUUAGUGCAUUUCCAAACAAAUGGUGGUCACAAAAGAUAUAUUUAAAAUGCUUUUACUUAACAUUAUUAAAACAUGAUCUAUUUUAUUAUUGGAGCCCACGAUUUUUGUAGGAAUGUUCUUUUUAAAAUUAGAAAAAACUAGAUAAGGAGUUAAGUAACUAUGCAUAUUGAAUUAUCAAAUAUUGUCUUUGCUCAAAUUAGUAUGUUAGGAUUAAAUACUAACAUGUGAACAAUAAAAGAAAAUUAUUAGUGAGAGAAAAUACCUAAAUAUGUUAGUCUUGUCACAUCUGCUUUAGAUUAGUUUAACUACAGGUAAAGACUAUAUUCAGCCAUGAGUUAGACCACUUCAGGUGAUGUAAUUACAGUGUGGAAAAUAAAAAUUUUGAUUUUAGAUUUGCUUUUAUUGAAAUUAUAUCCACAUUAAUUCACAAAUAAUGAAUAUGAUAAGGGUUAACUGCCUGAUUAUUGUAUUUAAAAGCUGAGGUGAAGAUUCUGUUUACAAUUUUUUUUUUUUCAUUAAAUUAACUACUUAUGAGAUUUCCUUAUUUACAGUUAUAGGUGGUAGAAAUAAAGAACACAACUACAUGUUCUUUCUUUGAUUGAACCUAUUCUUGACUUUAUUUAUUUAAAUCUAUAAAUAGUAAAAGUAUGGAAAACAUAGUUAAAUAUCUAAAAAUUCAUUUCCAUGUUUAUUUUAUGUAGAUGAAUACAUAUAAGUAAUAAAACAGAACAGCAUUAAGAUGUUUAUAACAACUUAUUUCCUGAGCACAAUUUUAUUUAAUUUCAUAAGUGUUAAAACUUUGUGAUGUUUGAUUAAUUUCAAUUUUAGUUAAUCUUAUGAUUAUUUGAUUCAAAUCUCUAAGCAGUAUAACCAAGGGAUAUAUCAAUUAUAAAUACAUUUUUCACCUAAUUUCAUUAUUAAAAUGUGUAAAGCUAUAAACAAUAGAACCAGAAGAUACUGUAGUUAUUACUAUUAUUUAGUUAACUUUAAGAUUAAUUUAUUUAAAAUCAUAUUAUGAGAAUGUCCUACGUUGAAGUUAACCUGAAAUCUCAAAAAAGGGAAGUUUUGAAGUUAAACUCAGCAUAAUUCUACUAAAUAAUACUAGACAUCUGAUUUAUUAUUUACUGUACUCAACCAAAGUGUCUUAAUUUAAAAAAGAUAUGUUGCAUUCUAAGAAGAAAUCACAUUUUUGAACCUUCAGACAAAAAUUACCUUGACAGAAUUCUUUCAAAUGUUCUGUAUUAACUACAUUGUUUUACCUGUUACUUCAUUUGAGAGCAACAUAGUACUGAGAUUUGUUGUAAAAGAUCAUUAAUAAGAAUUACACAACUUCAUUCAUACAAUGGUCAGAAGUAUGAAAUGAGUUAACUUUUUGAUAUUUCAUAGUUUGAUACAUAACACUAGGAAAAUAUAAAACAAGAAAACUAAUAACAAACAUUUUUGGAAGGUCUACCUUCUUAAAGUACUCAUGUUAAUGGGUUUAUUGUUUUGUGAACGUAGACUUACUAAUUUUCUUUUAAAUUACUUAUGUUAUUACAACCUGGUUUAGGAGUGACAUGAGUUUGAUUACCUCUUAUUUUCAACAAAUAUUCAUUUGUUUAGUUAAUGUUCACAUUUAGUAUAAAUCAAAUACAUUGUUAUGUAAAUGAUAAGCUGUAACUUCAUGAACUUUGAAUUAAAGUGCUUUGAAAAUGUGUUAUUCAUGUAGCAGCAUGAACUUAAAAUUUUAAGUCCACAUUAUCAUAUUUACUAUUUUAUGUAUAAUACAAGUUGUAUGUGUGAAAGGUUCAAUAUGUGAAAAAAGAAAAGCCUAGUAAUUUUGUAUUUUUACUGUUAAAACAUGCAUAAGUUUUUUAUCAAUAUGAAAUAUAUUUCUUAAUUUAGGGACUACAUGCUGGAUUUUCUUUUUAGAGAUUAGAUAAACACAGUAUUAUACUCCCCUACUUUCCUUAACAAAGUUAUUUUUUUCUGAACCUGCAAAAAUGGAUGAUUUAAUUUUAACUUUUUUAAAUAUAAGUAAAAAUUUAAAUAUUAUGUUUUAUUUCAAAAUUGAUAUUUUAGCUCAUAUCAAUAUUUGUAAUGCUGUGAAUUACCAUGAUAAAAUUUUCCUUAAUAUUGAAAAAUGCUCAGUUAGAGUUGUGCAGAUUUUUUUACAUGUAAAUAGAAUGCAGAAAAAGUUUUCAUUUCUGUUUGUAUUUGAAGAAAAUAAAGUUAACCAGCUACAACUAGAUAAAUUAGAUGCUACUAUAUAAAAGAACCUUUUAGCUACAUGUGAUAAAAUAAAGAAGUUUCCAAGCUAAUACUAAGAUAUUACUGCGGUUAUCAUUAAUAAAUUCAGCUACUGUAGUUAUUUGAAUUUCCAUCAAAAAGGAAACAAAACCAAAAAGUAUGUUUGAUUGUUUUUUGAUGUUUCACUGCUUAGAUAUAAUAUUUAUAUAUAAAUUGUGCCUAUUGAUAUUACGAAGUAAUCAGUUUACAGAAAUUUAUAAUUCCAAUAUUUGAAAAUCUUAAGCAACAUGUGUCAAAUUUUUAUUUAUGGAGUAGAAUUGAUUGUGUUUUAACAUGUAUAUGUUGUUGUUUCAUUAAGUUAUACUUUAUAUAUUGUUAAAGUGGUUUUCAGUUGUUUUUUUGUCAUAAGAGUUCUUUUUUAUAUUUAAUUUUAUUGAGUACCUACCACUAGAAACUUUGUAUUCCAUUUUAAUUUACCACCACCAAUGACAAAUCAUUCUGAAAUUGUAUAGUUACAUUUAUUUGACUAAGCAUUAAAACAUACAAAAGUUCAUUCAACAGAAAAAA
rnacentral:misc_RNA from 1 species